rnacentral:rRNA from 1 species
GUGGGGAAUCUUAGACAAUGGGGGCAACCCUGAUCUAGCCAUGCCGCGUGAGUGAUGAAGGCCUUAGGGUCGUAAAGCUCUUUCGCUGGGGAAGAUAAUGACGGUACCCAGUAAAGAAACCCCGGCUAACUCCGUGCCAGCAGCCGCGGUAAUACGGAGGGGGUUAGCGUUGUUCGGAAUUACUGGGCGUAAAGCGCGCGUAGGCGGAUUGGAAAGUUGGGGGUGAAAUCCCGGGGCUCAACCCUGGAAUGGCCUUCAAAACUCCCAGUCUUGAGGUCGAGAGAGGUGAGUGGAAUUCCGAGUGUAGAGGUGAAAUUCGUAGAUAUUCGGAGGAACACCAGUGGCGAAGGCGGCUCACUGGCUCGAUACUGACGCUGAGGUGCGAAAGCGUGGGGAGCAAACAGGAUUAGAUACCCCAGUAGUCC